rnacentral:rRNA from 1 species
CACGUAGGGCGCAAGCGUUGUCCGGAAUUAUUGGGCGUAAAGAGCUCGUAGGCGGUCUGUGCGUCGCUGUGAAAACCUCGGGGCUACCCAGCCGGCCUGCAGUGGAUACGGGCAGACUAGAGGUGUGGUAGGGGAGAAUGGAAUUCCUGGUGUAGCGGUGAAAUGCGCAGAUAUCAGGAGGAACACCGGUGGCGAAGGCGGGUCUCUGGGCCAUAACUGACGCUGAGGAGCGAAAGCGUGGGGAGCGAACAGG